UACAGAGGUCUCGAGCGUUGUUCGGAUUCAUUGGGCGUAAAGGGUGCGUAGGUGGCAUCGUAAGUCGGGUGUGAAAUCCUGAGGCUUAACCUCGGAACUGCAUUCGAUACUGCGGUGCUUGAGGACUGGAGAGGAGACUGGAAUUCAUGGUGUAGCAGUGAAAUGCGUAGAGAUCAUGAGGAAGACCAGUGGCGAAGGCGGGUCUCUGGACAGUUCCUGACACUGAGGCACGAAGGCCAGGGGAGCAAACGGG
rnacentral:rRNA from 1 species